rnacentral:lncRNA from 1 species
CGCCUUCCGGGGACAGUCUAUCUGACCUUCCGGUAGCCCCUGCCUAUAAAUCAAAGCCGAUAUUACCGGACCGUCACAGCAGUAGCGGCGACAGCGUAGCGUGCAGCAUCUGAGUCGUCUCUUAUUCUUGUACAGGUUACGUGCGUAGCCGCAGUUA